AAGGGGACUUAGACAGACAUUCUGUUCUGUUUCAGCUGGACUGUAUCGCAGUGACUAUCGGGAUCAGAAGAGACUUUCUAUGUUCUGAGGCUGAAACCUCAACUUUUAUCUGGGGGACAAACAAUGCAAGAGAAUGCCUGCAGCGGAGAAAGUCAAUUGGAGAGCGUCUCAGAUUGUUCCCCAGACUCCCCAGACUUGUGUCCACUGUCCUGCAUGGUGCCCUUUGCAGUCCGCAGGCUUUCCUGCCGAACCGUCCAGCUGCCCCCUUUGGCCUUCAGGCAGGCUGAGCAGUACUACUGUGAGAGGAAACCAGAGACAGAGACGGCCCAGCCUCGACCCACCAGCCUCCCCUUGAGAGCACCUCCACUCAUUGCCAUCACC